UUUUUAUUACAUCAUGUCUAUAGAAAAGAUCGCUAAGCACUCAGCAUCUGAAGAAAUUGAAUUAAAAUAUUGAUUUUAAUUACUAAAUUUUUUCAGAGUUUUAUUAAUCAAGAUAAAAGAAAAACAGAAGAUGAAGAUAAAUCACAAUCAUUUAUGCAGAAAUAUGAGCAAAAAAUCCGACAUUUUGAUUGAGUGCUUCGGUUAAAUGCAGUUCUGUGUGGGAAAACCUCCCAGCUUCACAAGAUGUUGUAAUCCACCUGACACUGAGACUCAGUCUUCAGUAGACCCUUUCCUCACUGUGUAAAACCGGCUGUUUCUGAGUAGUCCAUGACUUAUAGCCACUCCCAGAUUCACAUUGUACCUGUUUCUUAGUGGAAAUGCACAUUGGCUUUUCACUUUGGAGGAGAUACCCUACUUGCUGCAGCACAUUGGAUCCACAGAAAUGUUCCUAAGGUAGUAGGCUCCCAAACUUUUCAUGUGUUUAACUUUCCACUCUCUGGCAUAUGUGUAUCUUAUUAUAUAUAAAUAGGCAUCUGGGGCAUCUACUACUUCUGCCUGCCAAGUUCCAUGAACAUAGAGUGGACUAAAUUUACAGUUACACAGGUGAUGAGAUAGCAGAAUCCACAUUUACAAAGUGGUAGCACAGUUGAUAGAGGCCCGAGACAAGAGUUUGAAGGUUUGAUGCAGUCCACCUUUGGAGAAAACAAAUACUUAUGCUAGUGUAUGCUAUCAGUAAAGAAAAAAAGCAUUGUCAGACUGAUAGGUAUAUUGAUGAACUCCUUAAAAAACAUCUGGAAUGGCAGCUGUAAUUAAAGUUUCCAAGUUGGAUUCUGUUGUAGACUCUUAAAAGAGGGCCUGGUGAAGGUGAGCUGUCUGUGCAGGACAGCAGGCACUUCAAACCAAUACUUGUCUCGUUUGUACUUUCGUUCUUCAUAGUUCUUCCUAAUUCUCUCUUGUCCUGUUGGAUGACUCUCUUCUCCCGUUGCUUUUUACCCUUCUACUUAGAUGAAGUUUACCGAUUAAAUGGUACCAUUGUUGCAGUGUUAAAGAUUAUUGAAUCUGACUUUCCUUUACAUUUUUGUUGGUUGGUUGAUUCAUGCUUUAGAAAUCAAAAUGCUGAUUUAGACACAGCAUGUUUCCUAUUCAUAUUCACAACCAUUUACAGUGAUUUAACUGUUUAACCCCUUUAACAUCACCGUCUUUGUGAUUCUUGGAGCUGCUCUUUGAAUUGUGCAGUGGUUUUUCAGAGCACAUCAUUUUCCCUUCCAGCCAUAGUUAACUUUGAUUCAGCUUUUUCUGAAUCUCUGUAGGAUGUGGUCACUGGGAAAUUAAUCAAAAACUAUAAACAUUUGUAUAAAAACUUUUUUCAUUUAUAAUAUCUCGAUUCUAUUCACUUGUGCUUUACUUU